UACGGAGGGUGCGAGCGUUGUCCGGAAUCACUGGGCGUAAAGGGCGCGUAGGUGGCCCGUCAAGCGCGCGGUGAAAGCCCGGGGCUCAACCCCGGGUCGGCCGUGCGGACUGGCGGGCUCGAGCACUGUAGGGGCGGGUGGAAUUCCGGGUGUAGCGGUGGAAUGCGUAGAGAUCCGGAAGAACACCGGUGGCGAAGGCGGGUCUCUGGGCAGUAACUGACGCUGAGGAGCGAAAGCGUGGGGAGCGAACGGG
rnacentral:rRNA from 1 species